rnacentral:rRNA from 1 species
GACGGAGGGGCAAGCGUUGUCCGGACUCACUGGGCGUAAAGGGUGCGCAGGCGGCACGGCACGUUCGCGCUGAAAUCCCACGGCUUAACCGUGGGCGCGUGCGAAUACGGCCGAGCUCGAGGCAUGGAGAGGAUAGGGAACUCCCGGUGUAGCGGUGAAUGCGCAGAUAUCGGAGGAACACCAAUGGCGAAGGCAGCUCGCUGGACGGUACUGACGCUGAGGCGCGAAGCGUGGGAGCGAACAGG